GGCUCAAUGGUCUAGUGGUAUGAUUCGCGCUUCGGGUUGUUUCCCCAUCAUUCCCAAUCAAAAAUGAUGAGCAUGUGCGAGGUCUCGGGUUCGAUCCCCGAUUGAGCCC